AGAGUUUGAUCAUGGACCUGCGUCGCAUUAGCUAGUUGGAGUGGUAAAGGCACACCAAGGCGACGAUGCGUAGCCGACCUGAGAGGGUGAGCGGCCACACUGGGACUGAGACACGGCCCAGACUCCUACGGGAGGCAGCAGUAGGGAAUCUUCCGCAAUGGACGAAAGUCUGACGGAGCAACGCCGCGUGAGUGAAGAAGGUUUUCGGAUCGUAAAGCUCUGUUGCCAGGGAAGAAGAGCAAGGAGAGGAACUGCUCCUUGAGUGACGGUACCUGAGAAGAAAGCCCGGCUAACUACGUG
rnacentral:rRNA from 1 species